GUAAUAAUCCUGUAGUCGAAAAUGUUGUCUCUCUUGAGUGGAUCCUGAGUACGACGGAGCACGUGAAAUUCCGUCGGAAUCUGGGAGGACCAUCUCCUAAGGCUAAAUACUCUCUAGUGACCGAUAGUGAACCAGUACCGUGAGGGAAAGGUGAAAAGCACCCCGGAAGGGGAGUGAAAUAGAACCUGAAACCGUGUGCUUACAAGUAGUCAGAGCCCGUUAAUGGGUGAUGGCGUGCCUUUUGUAGAAUGAACCGGCGAGUUACGAUUUGAUGCAAGGUUAAGCAGUAAAUGUGGAGCCGUAGCGAAAGCGAGUCUGAAUAGGGCGUUUAGUAUUUGGUCGUAGACCCGAAACCAGGUGAUCUACCCUUGGUCAGGUUGAAGUUCAGGUAACACUGAAUGGAGGACCGAACCGACUUACGUUGAAAAGUGAGCGGAUGAACUGAGGGUAGCGGAGAAAUUCCAAUCGAACCUGGAGAUAGCUGGUUCUCUCCGAAAUAGCUUUAGGGCUAGCCUCAAGUGAUGAUUAUUGGAGGUAGAGCACUGUUUGGACGAGGGGCCCCUCUCGGGUUACCGAAUUCAGACAAACUCCGAAUGCCAAUUAAUUUAACUUGGGAGUCAGAACAUGGGUGAUAAGGUCCGUGUUCGAAAGGGAAACAGCCCAGACCACCAGCUAAGGUCCCAAAAUAUAUGUUAAGUGGAAAAGGAUGUGGCGUUGCCCAGACAACUAGGAUGUUGGCUUAGAAGCAGCCAUCAUUUAAAGAGUGCGUAAUAGCUCACUAGUCGAGUGACACUGCGCCGAAAAUGUACCGGGGCUAAACAUAUUACCGAAGCUGUGGAUUGUCCUUUGGACAAUGGUAGGAGAGCGUUCUAAGGGCGUUGAAGCAUGAUCGUAAGGACAUGUGGAGCGCUUAGAAGUGAGAAUGCCGGUGUGAGUAGCGAAAGACGGGUGAGAAUCCCGUCCACCGAUUGACUAAGGUUUCCAGAGGAAGGCUCGUCCGCUCUGGGUUAGUCGGGUCCUAAGCUGAGGCCGACAGGCGUAGGCGAUGGAUAACAGGUUGAUAUUCCUGUACCACCUAUA
rnacentral:rRNA from 1 species